UACGGGGGGAGCAAGCGUUGUUCGGAUUUACUGGGCGUAAAGCGCGCGCAGGCGGCGGUGCUGGCCCGGCGUGAAAGCCCCCGGCUCAACCGGGGAGGGUCGUCGGGGACCGCACCGCUUGAGGGCGGUAGGGGCUGGUGGAAUGCCUGGUGUAGUGGUGAAAUGCGUAGAGAUCAGGCGGAACACCCGUGGCGAAGGCGGCCAGCUGGGCCGUCCCUGACGCUGAGGCGCGAAGGCGUGGGGAGCGAACGGG
rnacentral:rRNA from 1 species